rnacentral:rRNA from 1 species
AUGCGAUGGAUGGCUUUUGCAAACCCGACAUGCGGCGAUGUGGUUCAUGCCAACAACAAAUAUGAUUGGCCGGUGCUGCCGGCUGGCGUCAAGUUCGAUCCCACGGAUCAGGAGCUGAUCGAGCACCUUGAGGCCAAAGUGAGUGCUGACAGCGCGAGAUCUCACCCUCUCAUCGAUUUGUUCAUACCAACCAUCGACAGCGAGCACGACAUAUGCUACACCCAUCCUGAGAAACUUCUAGGUAUCACACUGAGUGGCCUAAGCAAGCAUUUCUUCCAGCGCAAUUCUAGGGCGUUCAAAAGGGGCACGUGGACGCGUCGCAAGAUACAGUCGGAGUGCGGCAUGCACGCGAUGUGGCACAACACCGGCAAUACCUUGCCGGUGAUGGUCAACGGCCGGCAGACGGGCAACAAAAAGGUUCUGGUGCUGCACACCAACAAGAACUUCGACCAGCAGAGGACCAACUGGGUGAUGCACCAGUACCACCUCGGGGACCUAGAGCAAGAGAAGGAGCGGGAGCUGGUCCUCUGCAAGAUUUUCUACCAGACGAACACUAGGGCAAACUUAGUCAACAAUCGACUCUACCAGCAUCAGACCAUUAGAUGUCAAUCUAACUGCAAUCGUGCUUCUUCAGUCUCUGAUCUUCCUGCCCCAGCCGCCCAAACCAGCGCCGUCGGAACCGCCUGCUCCCGCCUCCCGUGGCAAAGAAAAUACGGCCACAUACGUACAUAUGGGCAGGGUCUCGAACGCUUACUCGCGCAUACAUAUGGCCAGGGCUCGUGUACAUGGCUGGAAUGUCAUGCAGCUGCGUCUCCGGCCCGCCCAGGACGAAAAGCCCAUUUUCUUUUAAAUGAGGCCGGAACAACAAACAACAAUUCCAGAAAAUCCCCAUAUGUCAUUUAG